GAUGUAGAACGCAGCGAAAUGCGAUAAGUAGUGUGAAUUGCAGAAUUCAGUGAAUCAUCGAAUCUUUGAACGCACAUUGCGCCCUUUGGUAUUCCUUAGGGCAUGCCUGUUCGAGCGUCAUUUAAACCUUCAAGCUAAGCUUGGUGUUGGGUGACUGUCCGCUUCACGGCGGACUCGCCUCAAAAUUAUUGGCGGCCGGUACAUUGGCUUCGAGCGCAGCAGAAACGCGAACUCGGGCCCGUCGUAUUGGCUCCCAGAAGCUAUCUUCACAAUUUUGACCUCGGAUCAGGUAGGGAUACCCGCUGAACUUAAGCAUAUCAAUAAGCGGAGGA
rnacentral:misc_RNA from 1 species